GACGAACGCUGGCGGCGCGCUUAACACAUGCAAGUCGAACGGAAAGGCCUGCUUUCCCUUGUGGAUUGCGGGUACUCGAGUGGCGAACGGGUGAGUAACACGUGAGUGAUCUGCCCCCAACUUGGGUAUAAGCCUGGGAAACUGGGUCUAAUUCCCGAUAGGACUGCAGGGUGGUGCCUGUGGUGGAAAACGAUUUUCUAGUGGUUGGGGAUGAGCUCGCGGCCUAUCAGCUUGUUGGUGGGGUAAUGGCCUACCAAGGCGGCGACGGGUAGCCGGCCGGGGAGGGUGGACGGCCACAGUGGGACUGAGAUACGGCCCAGACGCCUACGGGAGGCAGCAGUGGGGAAUAUUGCACAAUGGGCGGAAGCCUGAUGCAGCGACGCCGCGUGGGGGAUGACGGCCUUCGGGUUGUAAACUCCUUUCGACCGCGAGGAAGCCACCUGGUUGGAAGGGUGGUGACGGUAGUGGUAGAAGAAGCACCGGCUAACUACGUG
rnacentral:rRNA from 1 species